rnacentral:rRNA from 1 species
UGCCAGCAGCCGCGGUAACACGAACCGUCCAAACGUUAUUCGGAAUUACUGGGCGUAAAGCGCACGUAGGCGGACUUUUAAGUCAGAUGUGAAAUCCCAAGGCUCAACCUUGGAACUGCAUUUGAAACUGGGAGUCUAGAGAUCAGGAGAGGUUAGUGGAAUACCGAGUGUAGAGGUGAAAUUCGUAGAUAUUCGGUGGAACACCAGUGGCGAAGGCGACUAACUGGACUGAUACUGACGCUGAGGUGCGAAAGUGUGGGGAGCAAACAGGAUUAGAUA